rnacentral:tRNA from 1 species
GGGCCCAUAGCUCAGCGGUAGAGCCACCGGCUCAUAACCGGUUCGUCCCAGGUUCGAAUCCUGGUGGGCCCACCA